rnacentral:lncRNA from 1 species
CAUCAUUGAUGGACUUGGAAAUGCAGACAGAACUGAAGAGGAGCGUCUCGGCACUGCUGCUACGGCUACUGCACAUCUGAUGAAGAGGAUUUUUUUUAACUGAGUAAGGUCAUCUUUUCCUGAUGAAGCCCCAAAGUGCAAAAGGCAUGAAAGGCACAUUAUGCUUCUCCACCAGAGGAGGGUCUCCGCAGGCAGGGCAGCCGCUGAACAGCACCGGGAGGGUCUGUAGUUGCCAGACUCUAUUAUUGUGGGCUAUAAAUUAAGAGGCUUCCGUUUCAAAUACAAACUCUCUCAUCAGUCACAGGAAAUUAAAUGCCUUUUGAAAGGGAGCUAGGCAUAGGAGGAAUUCACUUUCUUCCACCUACACACUGUUGGCAGCUCCUCAGAGGGAAGGACGGAGCCUGCCAUUCUGCGGAGCGUCACCUGGUUCUUACCCACGACUUCACCGUGAGUGUGGAGUCCACAGGACUCCAGAGCUCUGUGGCCUGACUGCAGGGCAGUCUGCUCCCAAAGAGACUUGGGGAGAACAUGGCUAACUCAACAGAAUACAGAAUAACACCGGAG